UACAGAGGUCUCAAGCGUUGUUCGGAUUCAUUGGGUUUAAAGGGUGCGUAGGCUGUCAGGUAAGUCCGUGGUGAAAUCUCUGAGCUUAACUCAGAAACUGCCAUGGAUACUAUUUGUCUUGAAUGUUGUGGAGGUAAGCGGAAUAUGUCAUGUAGCGGUGAAAUGCUUAGAUAUGACAUAGAACACCAAUUGCGAAGGCAGCUUACUACACAAAUAUUGACGCUGAGGCACGAAAGCGUGGGGAUCAAACAGG
rnacentral:rRNA from 1 species